CGUCCCUGACAGGGGCGUCCGCCGGAAGGCGGGCUGAGAAGCACCCUUUGAACCUGAACCGGAUCAUGCCGGCGGAGGGAGUCGACUGGGUGCUGCC
rnacentral:ncRNA from 2 species